UACAGAGGAGCCAAGCGUUGUCCGGAUUGACUGGGCGUAAAGCGCACGCAGGCGGGUGCGCGCGGGGGGGGUGAAAUCUGGCCGCUUAACGGCCAGGCGCCAUCCCAUACGGCGCGCCUGGAGCCUUGCAGAGGUCGGUGGAAUUCCCGGUGUAGCGGUGAAAUGCGCAGAUAUCGGGAAGAACACCAGUGGCGAAGGCGGCUCUCUGGGACGGUACUGACGCUGAGACGCGAAAGCGUGGGGAGCAAACAGG
rnacentral:rRNA from 1 species